GUGGGGAAUUUUGGACAAUGGGCGCAAGCCUGAUCCAGCAAUGCCGCGUGCAGGAAGAAGGCCUUCGGGUUGUAAACUGCUUUUAUACGGGAAGAAAAAAUACUACGUGUAGUAUACUGACGGUACCGUAAGAAUAAGGAUCGGCUAACUCCGUGCCAGCAGCCGCGGUAAUACGGAGGAUCCAAGCGUUGUCCGGAUUUAUUGGGUUUAAAGGGUGCGUAGGCGGAUCUUUAAGUCAGUGGUGAAAGCCUGCAGCUUAACUGUAGAAUUGCCAUUGAAACUGAAGAUCUUGAAUGUGGUUAAAGUAGGCGGAAUGUAUCAUGUAGCGGUGAAAUGCUUAGAUAUGAUACAGAACACCGAUAGCGAAGGCAGCUUGCUGAACCAUUAUUGACGCUGAGGCACGAAAGCGUGGGGAGCGAACAGGAUUAGAAACCCGGGUAGUCC
rnacentral:rRNA from 1 species